ACCGUGUCCAGGGUGUCGCAAGAGAGAGCCAGGGCCAUCAGGAGCAGCACGUCCCUGCUCAUGACCAUCAUCUCCCUCUCUGACUUCAACACCUGACCAUCCAUGAAGCCGAAGACCUGUGGGUGUGUGACUGGCACCAGGACAGCAGGCUCCUGGGGUACAAAAACACAGCCAGGGUCGGGGAGGUCUUUGGCAAAUUCUUCUCAUCGGGGCAGAGAAGAUUCUUCCUGUGGACGGCAGUGCUGG